rnacentral:rRNA from 1 species
UGCACGCUGGCGGUAGGCCUAACACAUGCAAGUCGAACGGCAGCACAGUAAGAGCUUGCUCUUACGGGUGGCGAGUGGCGGACGGGUGAGGAAUACAUCGGAAUCUACUUUUUCGUGGGGGAUAACGUAGGGAAACUUACGCUAAUACCGCAUACGACCUACGGGUGAAAGCAGGGGAUCUUCGGACCUUGCGCGAUUGAAUGAGCCGAUGUCGGAUUAGCUAGUUGGCGGGGUAAAGGCCCACCAAGGCGACGAUCCGUAGCUGGUCUGAGAGGAUGAUCAGCCACACUGGAACUGAGACAAGGUCCAGACUCCUACGGGAGGCAGCAGUGGGGAAUAUUGGACAAUGGGCGCAAGCCUGAUCCAGCCAUACCGCGUGGGUGAAGAAGGCCUUCGGGUUGUAAAGCCCUUUUGUUGGGAAAGAAAAGCAGCAGGUUAAUACCCCGCUGUUCUGACGGUACCCAAAGAAUAAGCACCGGCUAACUUCGUG